GAUGAACGCUAGCUACAGGCUUAACACAUGCAAGUCGAGGGGCAGCAUGGUCUUAGCUUGCUAAGGCCGAUGGCGACCGGCGCACGGGUGAGUAACGCGUAUCCAACCUGCCUUACACUCUUGGACAGCCUUCUGAAAGGGAGAUUAAUACAAGAUGUUAUCAUGAGUAAGCAUUUUCGCAUGAUUAAAGGUUUACCGGUGUAAGAUGGGGAUGCGUUCCAUUAGAUAGUAGGCGGGGUAACGGCCCACCUAGUCUUCGAUGGAUAGGGGUUCUGAGAGGAAGGUCCCCCACAUUGGUACUGAGACACGGACCAAACUCCUACGGGAGGCAGCAGUGAGGAAUAUUGGUCAAUGGCCGAGAGGCUGAACCAGCCAAGUCGCGUGAGGGAUGAAGGUUCUAUGGAUCGUAAACCUCUGUGAUCCGGGACGAAAAGGCAGAGUGCGAAGAACAAACUGCAUUGACGGUACCGGAAAAGCAAGCC
rnacentral:rRNA from 1 species